AGAGUUUGAUCCUGGCUCAGGACGAACGCUGGCGGCGUGCUUAACACAUGCAAGUCGAACGGAAAGGCCCCCACUUUUUUGGGGGGGGUGCUCGAGUGGCGAACGGGUGAGUAACACGUGGGUGAUCUGCUUUGUACUUCGGGAUAAGCUUGGGAAACUGGGUCUAAUACCGGAUAGGACCAUGGUUUAGUGUCUCAUGGUGGAAAGAUUAUUGUUUUGGUGCAGGAUGAGCUCGCGGCCUAUCAGCUUGUUGGUGGGGUAAUGGCCUACCAAGGCGUCGACGGGUAGCCGGCCUGAGAGGGUGGACGGCCACAUUGGGACUGAGAUACGGCCCAGACUCCUACGGGAGGCAGCAGUUGGGAAUAUUGCACAAUGGGCGCAAGCCUGAUGCAGCGACGCCGCGUGGGGGAUGACGGCCUUCGGGUUGUAAACUCCUUUCGUUAGGGACGAAGCCACACUUUUUUUGGGUGUGGUGACGGUACCUUUGUUAAGAAGCACCGGCUAACUACGUGCCAGCAGCCGCGGUAAUACGUAGGGUGCGAGCGUUGUCCGGAAUUACUGGGCGUAAAGAGCUCGUAGGUGGUUUGUUGCGUCGUCUGUGAAAUUCCGGGGCUUAACUUCGGGGUGGCAGGCCGAUACGGGCAUAAACUAGAGUGCUGUAGAGGAAGACUGGGAAUUCCUUGGUGUAGCGGUGAAAUUCGUAGAUAUGUGCAGGGAAUGCCGAUGAUGAAGAUAGUUCACUGGACGGUAACUGACGCUGAAGUGCGAAAGCCGGGGGAGCGAACAGGAUUAGAUACCCUGGUAGUCCCGGCUGUAAACGAUGAUUACUGGGUGUGGGCAGGAAGACUGUCUGUGCCGAAGCAAAUGCGAUAAGUAAUCCGCCUGGGGGAGUACGGGCCGCAAGGCUGAAACUCAAAGGAAUUGACCGGGGACCCGCCACAAGCCGGGUGGGAGCAUGGUGGUUAAUUCGACGCAACGCGAGGAACCUUACCAGAUCUUGACAUCCCGCGAAUGCCCGUGAAGACGGGCAGUGCCUUCGGGAACGCGGAGACAGGUGGUGCAUGGCUGUCGACAGCUCGUGUCGUGAGAUGUUGGGUUAAGUCCCGCAACGAGCGCAACCCCUGUUGCUAGUUACCAUCAUUAAGUUGGGGACUCUAGCAAGACUGCCUGCGAAGAGCAGGAGGAAGGUGGGGAUGACGUCAAGUCAUCAUGCCCCUUAUGAUCUGGGCUACACACGUGCUACAAUGGGCUGUACAGAGAGGAGCGAGGCGGUGACGCGGAGCGAAUCUUGAAAGCAGUUCGAAGUUCGGAUUGAAGUCUGCAACUCGACUUCAUGAAGUUGGAAUCGCUAGUAAUCGCGGAUCAGCAAUGCCGCGGUGAAUACGUUCUCGGGUCUUGUACACACCGCCCGUCACACCACGAGAGUUGUCUGCACCUGAAGUUACUGGUCUAACAUAUGAGGAAGGUACCUAAGGUGUGGAUAGUGAUUGGGGUGAAGUCGUAACAAGGUAACC
rnacentral:rRNA from 1 species